rnacentral:miRNA from 1 species
CUCCGCCCCGCCGCGAGCGGCUG